CUAUGCUAGUGGACCAAAUGAGGUUCGCUAAAAUGCCUCGUUUCGGUAUGAGCCAAAACAAAUUUGGCCCAACACCACCUAAUCCAAGGGUUUUAUUGGCUGACCUAGCCGACCAAACACAUUUUGCAAUUUUGACAACUCCAGUGGCGGGCCAAUUCGAUAGCGCUUGACCGGAGUUCUGCCGAAGUUUACUCUCUAAACCGGUGAAGAAUGGGCGUAUAAAUGGAACUCGUUGAUCUCAGACGAUUAGAUGGCUGAAUCCCCUCUUUGUGUAUCUAGAGCUCCAAGGCUAUUCAUUAAAGAUAUGAACAUGAGAAAAAUCAAGUCUUAUGGCGGCGAACAGCGUGUUGGCCCAUUUCAUAAGAGCUUUUCUGCAGUUGUGGUCCUAAUGGUAGUGGAAAGAGUAACAUAAAUUGACGCAAUGUUGUUCGUGUUUGGGAAGCGAGCCAAACAGGGGGAGAUUGAGCAAAUAUCGUUGAUGAAGCCAAAAGCGCAAUCAGCCCAUGAUGAAGGCUUUCUGGAGUAUCUAGAAGAUAUUAUUGGAACCAACAAAUAUGUUGAGAAGAUUGCAGAAUCAUUGAAGCAAAGUCUGUAGAUCAAUUGCAUUCUUCAGAGGCUUUGUGCCAGUCUCUAUGAAGCUUUCUUGCUUCUAUGUGGAAUGAGUUUCUAAUUCAGUUCAAUUAGAGCUGCAAGUGGAUGCUGAUUACAACUUACAAGAUAUGAAGAAGACUUAUGAAGACUUGGAGCUCAAAGGCAAAGGAUAUAAUAAAAAGCUUGAUGAUUUGUUUAUUGCUCUUUCAAAGCAUACUGAGCAGAAUCAAAAGGACUCGGUGGAUCCAGAAAAGCUUUAAACAACUUUUAGGAUGACAUUCUUGGCGAGACUUAUGACCAUAAUAAAGCUUUGGAGAUCGUUGCAAUUCUAGAAGUUCAACUAAAAGAGAUAAAUCCAAAUCUUGACUCGAUCUCUGAAACAAAUUAUCUGUGUGCAAUGAGAAAGUCCAAGAACUUGAUUUUGUUACUAAGAGCAUGUGAUAUAAAAAGCAAUAUGGCAAGUGGAGAAA